rnacentral:lncRNA from 1 species
ACUCAUGUAAUGGUACAAGAUCCCAAUGAUGAACGUAACUGUAUGUUAUACCUAAAAUGUACCAAUAAAUUCAAUGGAAAAAAAAGGAUAUAGAAAGCAUAUUACAAAAAUAUUUUUUGAAAUAAAAUUUGACAACUGCAAAGAAGUACCUUGGAAGACAAAUUAAUGAAACUAACUCUAGAGGAAAUAUAAAAUUUCAAUAGCACCUAUUAAAGUAUAUUCCUAGCUUGAAAAUCUACCUAUAUGACAAGAACAGGCUCAUAUACAUUUUAACUGAUAAAUUAUAUCAAACAUUGAAAACAGAAAAAAGAAGGAUACAUUUCUCCCCUCAUUUUAGGAAAUCAACAUUGUGCUAAUCCUAAAACUGGAUAAAGAUAAUAGAAGAAAAAAGUAUGAACAUAGAUAGAAAUUUGUUUAACAAAACAGUUAGAAGUCAGAUCUGGCAGUAUGUAGAAAGUGGUUUUAUCAUAGGGAUGGCAGUGUUGGUUCAGCAUUAGGAGAUCCACUGCCAGAAGUCAUCGUUUUAACAGAGGAAAGGAAAAAGUCAUAUGAUCCUGUCAGUGGUUGGAGAAAAAGUAUUGGAUUAGAUUCUCCAGCUGUUCAUGGUAAAAGCUAUCAGAAGACUAGAAGUAGAACAGAACCUUCUCAACAGAUUAAAGACAUGUACUCCAUACUUCCAGCAAAAAUGCCUUAUAUGAAUGGAGAAGAUACAAUGGUUUCUCCCUUAGGUGGGGAACAAGGGCAGAUAUGCCUUCCCUUCAUCUGUCCAUUAAACUUUGAAACAUAGGCCCAAACUAAAAUAGUCUGGCAAUAAAAUGACACAAUUAGGGUAGGAUUGGCAAGGUAGAAGUAAAAUCUUUAUAUGCAGAAGAAAUGAUCAUCUACAGAGAAAAUACUAAGAAAUCUCUAGGAGCUCCUAGAAGUUGUAUUUGAAUUUAGCAGGAUUAGAAAACACAAGAUAUGUAUAAAAAUUCAGAUCUAUGUAUACUUGCUGUAAAUGAAGAAUCAGAUGUUGAAAUUUAAAAGUUAUGUAGGAGUACAAAGGACUCAGAAAAGUAAAAAGAAAAAGAAGAACAGUGUUGGAAGACAUUUAGUAUCUAAUUUUAAGACUUCCUCUAAAGCUACAGUAAUCAAGGCAGUGUUGGUGUAAGGAAAGACAUAUAGAUCAUUUGAAUAAAACAGAGAAUCUAGAAAGAGAACCACACAUAUAUGGUCCACUGAGUUUUGAAAGAUUAUUAAACAUUAACAUUUUAUAGAAUAUAAACUCACUUCAAGAGCCGAGGAAAAGAUAGUGUUUUCAGCAAGUGGCACUAGAACCCCUGGUAUCUGUAUAUAAAAAAUUAACCUCAACCCCUUCUUUCCAUACAUAAAAAUAACUUGAAGGGAUCUAUGAACCUAAAUAUGAAAGACUAAAACUAUAAAACUUUAAGAAGAAAUUAUAAGGGAAAAUGUUUAUGAAUUUAGGGCAGAACUUCCUAGGAUACAAAAAACAUGGUGUAUAAAAGAAAAAAAUUGAUAAAUGAGAUUCCAUCAAAAUUUAGAACUUUAAAUGACAUUGUUAAAAUGAAAAGUAGUUAAUAUUUUAUAUGCAUAUUUACAAUGCAUAUAACCUCUGACCAGAAUAUAUAAAGAACUCUUAUAGCUCAUUAAUAGACAACCCAAUUAAAAAGUAGACACAAGAAGAUGAUAAAUAGCCAGUGCAGCACAAAGAAAGGUGUGCAACACUAGAAUCAAAAAAUACUAAUCAGCACAAUAACAAGGUUGAAUUAUACACUCAUUAGGGAGAUGAAGUUAAAAGUUUUAAAAGCCUUGCCAUGACUUUUGUUUUUGUUGGAUUCUCCCCCUUUGAGUUUAAUUUGUCAUACCCACCGGAUUCAUUCUGCUGGGUUUCUUGGGGUUGUGAUCCUCAUUGUCUUUUCCUAGGGUAUUGUCUAAAAUUUUUUUGGAGUGCUGGUUUAGUAUUCAUGAAGUUCCUAAGGUGCUCUUUUUCAUGAAAGUAUCUUAUUUCUCCAUUAAUUUUGAAAGAUAGUUUUGCAGGGUACAUCAAUUUGGGUUGGAGGCUGUUUUCCUUUAGGGCUUGAAAUACAUCACUCCAAGCUCUUCUUGCCUGGAGGGUUUGCAUUGAGAAGUCUGCUGUGAUUCUGAUGGGCUUUCCUUUGUAUGUGAUUUGUUUCUUUUCUCUCACUGCUUGUAGAAUUUUGUUCUUCUGUUGGAUUUCUGGAAUCCUAACUAUUAUAUGCCUAUGUGUAGAUUUUUUUUGAUUAAGGCUAGUUGGAGUCCUAUAUGCCUCACUUAUAUGUAUGUCAAGUUCUUUUCCCCUGCUUGGGAAGUUUUCUGCCAUCACUUCUGUGAACAGUUAUUUUAUGUCAUCUGCACUCUCUGCUGUUUCUUCGUUGACUCCAAUCAGUCUUAUGUUAUGCUUCUUUGUAUUGUCUAGCAGCUGCUGGAUUGAUUUCUCGUGGUCCCUUACAAUUUUAAAGCAAUUUUUCUUUUCCUGGUCAGUAAUUGCAAUCUUAUCUUCUAUAUCUUAAAUUCCAUCCUCACAUUGGCACAUUCUGCUGUGUAGACUUUCAAUGGAGUUUUUAAUCUCCUGGAAAUCUGUUUGCAUCUGUUUUAUGGAUUCCAUUUGUUUCCUAUGUUGGGAUUACAUCAUGUUCCUCAGCUCCUCUAUUUUUUUAUCUGUGACUUCUCUAGAUUUAUUAAUCAUGUCUUGCACUAUGGGCACAAUCUCUGCUGUUAUCUGAGAACAUAUUUCUGAUUUCAUUUUUUCCAUAUCCUCUUUUGUUGCUAGUUUAGGGAGUCCAGGUGGUUGAGUAUCAGAGUGUUCCAUCUCAUUUCCCUUUGAGUUUGCUGUAGGUGAUCUGGAAGUCUGGUUUUGAGACUUGUUUAUAUGUCUUUUCAUUUCAAUGGCAGGGGGGUGGUAGGUGUGCGCAGCUCACCUCCUCUGCAGUGGGAGUGGUGGUACAGCAGCCCAGAAGCCCCGACCUCUGUGCUGGGAGUGGUGGUAUGCAACCCCACCUUUUAAAAGUAUUCAAUUCUGUGGUGUUUAGUAUAUUCACAAAGUUGUUCAACUAUCUCUACUAUCUAAUACUAGAAAACUUUCAUCACUCUCCCCCAAAAUAAAAUUACCCAUUAGCACUCAUGACCAACUGGUUCCUCCCUUAGGCCCCUGGGAUCUGUUAAUCUGCUUUCUGUCUCCAUAGAUUUUCCUAUUCUGGACAUUUCAUAUAAAUGGGAUCAUAUAGUAUGUGUCCUUUUGUAAAUGAAUUCUCUUAGUGUGAUGUUUUCAAAGUUCAUCCAUGUUGCAGCAUAUAUCAGUACUUUAUCAAUUUUUAUGUGGGAUAAUAGUCCAUUAUAUGAAUAUGCCAUAUUUUAUUUAUUAAUUCAUGUGCUGAUGGACAUUUGAGUUGUUUCUACUCUUUGCCUAUUAUGAGUAAUACUGCUAUGAACAUUUUUAUAAGUUUUUGUGUGAACAUAUGUUUUCAAUUCUCUUGGGUAUGUAAUGAGGAGUGGAAAUUUUGAGAAACUGCCAAACUGUUUUUAUGUCUACUUUAUCAUAUGUUCCAACCAGCAAUGUAUGAAGGUUCCAAUUUCUACACAUCCACCCUGUCAUUGUCUGUCUUUUUGAUUAUAGCCUUUGUAGUGGGUAUGAAGUAGUAUCUCACUGUGGUUUUAUUUGCAUUUCUUUGUGAUGAAUGAUAUUGAGCAUAUUUUCAUGCAUUUAUUUUCAUGUAUCUUCAUUGAAAAAUGUCCACUCAAGUCAUUUCCUUGUUUCAGAAUCAUAUUAUUUGUCUUUUAUUGAGUUGGAAAAGUGCUUUAUUCAUUCUGGAUACUAGAUCCUUAAGACAUAGUUUUGCAAAUAUAUCUUGUCCCAUCCUGUGGGUUAUUUGGACUUUGCUAAGUGUCCUCUGAAGGACAGCUGGUUUUGGUUUUGAUGAAGUGCAGUUUAUCUAUUUUUUUCAUUGGUUGCUUGAGCUUUUGGUGUCAUCUCAUGGAAACCAUUUCCUAAUUGAGGGUCAUGAGGCUUCACACUCAUAUUUUUUUCUAGGUGUUUUAGAAUUUUAACUCUUAUAUAUGGGUCUCUGAGCUACUUAAAUUAAGUUUUGAAUAUAAUCUGAGGCAAGGGUCUAAGUGUAAAAUAUUGGCCUGAGAAAUUUUUUUUUUGACACAGAAAAUUUAGGCAACAAGAACAAAGAUGGACAAGAGGGAUUCCAUAAAACUAAAUGCUUGUGCUUUUUAGCAAAGCAAACAACAGAAUGAGGAGAUAAUCUAUGGAUGGCUCGAGGUGUAGCUCACUUACAGAGUGUGUGCCUUGCCUGUUUAGAGCCCUGAGUUCAAUCAGUAGCAACACUAAGACCAGAGAGAGAGAGAGAGAAACAACCUAAGGAUUGAGAGAACAUAUUUAUAAGCUAUAUACCUGUUACAGGGUUAAUAUUCAAAGCAAAAAGGAACUUAAAAGAAGAAAACAUACAACUUGAUUUCAAAAAAUGCACAAAGACAUUUCUUAUUAAUGGCUAACAGAUAUAUGAAAAAAUGCUCAUCAUCACUAAUCAUCAGGGAAAUGCAAACUAAAGCCACAACAAGGGUUCAUCUCACAUCCAUUAGGAUGGCCAUUAUCAAAAAGCCGGGAUAGUAAGUAUUGACAAGGAUGUGGAGAAAACAUCCAUACACUGUUGGUGGGCAUGUAAAUUAGUAUGGCUAUUAUAAAGAAUGCUAUGUUUUUUCUGUGUAAGAAUCUUUUUGGUUUGGAUCUUGUACUCUGAGUUACUGCUUUGAAGAUAGGGUUACACAGUAUAUAUAUUGUUCUUCUCAUUAUUUUGUUAGGAAAUUUUGUUUUAUUUUUUCAUAAAAUAAAAGAAUAAAGAAAAACUGAGUGGAAGUUCCUCAAAAAAUUAAAAAUACAGCUAUCACAUGAUUUGGCACUCCCAUUUCUGGGUAUAUAUAAAAAAUCUGAGAUUCGUAUGUUAAAGUGACCUCAGCUCUCCCACCCAUUGCUGCACUAUUCACAACAGUCAAGUUAUAGAGUCAACCUAAGUGUCCAUCAAUGGAUGAAGACAUGGUACUUCUACACAAUGGAAUUGUAUUAAGGCUUUAAAAAGAAGGAAGUUCUAUCAUUUUUCACAAUAUGAAUGAACCCAGAGGAAAUUAUGCUAAGUGAAAUAAGCCAGAUACAGAAAGACAAAUACUACAUGUACUCACACAUAGAAUCUAAACCAAUUGAGCUCAUAGAAACAGAGUAGAAUGGAAGACACCACAGUCUGGGGAAAAUAGGGAAUUCUUGGUGAAAGUGUGCAAAAUUUCAGAUAGAUGGAAAGAAUACAUUUUUGUAGAUAAAUUUCAUAGCAUGGUGACUACAGUUAUCAGUAGUGUAUUAUGUAUUUCAAAAUUGCUAAGAGAGUAUAUUUCAAAUAUUCUCACUAUGAGAAAUAAAUAUUUGUGAUGGAUAUGUUAAUUACCUUAACUUAAUCAUUUCAUUUUGUACACAUGUAUCAUCAUUUUGAAUCUUACAAGUAUAAUUUGUGAAUUUAUAAUUAAGAUAUGAUGUUAGUUAUGGAUUUUUGUAGAUGCCCUUUGUCAGGCAAAGAAAGUUCCCUUCUAUUCUUAUUUUUUUCAGUGUUUUUGACAUAAAAGAAUGUUGGAUUUUUGUUAAAUCCUUUUUUGUGUCUGAUCAUGUGGCAUUUGUGCUUUUUUCUAUUUUGUACUUUUUUUGUACUAUUUUGUGCUUAUUUUGUACUUUUUUCUAUUUUGUACUUUUUUUGUCUAAUCAUGUGGCUUUUUGUACAUUGAUUAGUUUUUAUAUCAACCAAAUUUGCAUUCCUGGAGUAAAUUCACUUGAUCAUGGUGCAUAAUCCUUUUAAUAAGCUGCUGGCCUUAUUUUGCUGGUAUUUUGUUGAGGAUUUUCAUGCCUAUAUUCAUAAUGGAUCUUAUUCUACAGUUUUCUUUUCUUGUUCUAUCUUUGGUUUUCAUAUUAGGUAACCCUGUCCUUAUAGCCUAACUUGUGGACAUGUUUCUUCUUUUGGGAAGAGUUUCUGAAGUAUUGGUGUUUUUCAGUGUAUUUUUCAAUACAAUCUAGCUCUGUUCUACAAUGUAAAAAGCAAAAAGUGAGAAGGAGGGACCCUUUUGUCAUCUGUGCUUCUAGAUGUUCUUAUCUUUGCAUGAUGCCUGAGUUUAUGGUAGCCUCCUUGGACAUAAGAGGGCAGCCAUCCCAAGUCAACAAUGUAAGGAGGGCAGAACAGAAAGAAGGAAAAAACCCCAAUUCUUUAUGAGCAGUUGAAUAAUUGACACUGCAGCUCCUGUUUCCAGACCUCUUAUUAUGUGAGGUAACGCCUACCUUUGUUGUUUAAAGGUAUUUGCAGCAGAAGGUAUCUGUCUGAUAGGCACUGUAUCCUUUGCAACAUACCCUGGUGCCUUCAUUGUCCUCCAGUUUCUAGAGAUCACCAGUUAUGCCUGCAGAAAAGCACCCUGAGAGGAACUUGACAGUCACUGGUUUUUGUGUAAAAGAAAUCAAGCACACCCUCAAGGUUACAUGGACUACAACUACCUGGAACAUUUAACACUAUAGAGGGGUUAACAAUUUUGCCCUUUGUAUGUGUGGUUAAAAUGCAGGACCCAUUGGGCUUGAGGAGACAUGCAUUUGUCUUAGUCACUUUCCUCUUCUUUGAGCCCCAAUACCUGAUACACACAACUUAAAGGAAGAGAGGAUUACUUUGGCUCACAGUUUGUAGAGGUUCCAGUCCAUAGCAUUGGCUGGCUCCAAAGCAACAUGGCACAGUAGAGGGGCCAGGCUAACGAGAGGUGCUAAUCACAUGGUCCCAAAGAAGCAGAGAAUAGUCAAAGAAGGUCCGGAGAAGGGAGAUAAACCCUUCUAGGCCACAGCCACAGUAACCACUACUUCUCACUUGACCCUAUCUUUAAUGGCCAGUUAGCUACGUCUCCAUAAUCCUAUCACCUUUCAAAAGCCCCACUUUUGAGCUCUAGUGGCUUUGGGGAGACAUCCAGAUAUAAACCCAAAUUGUAAUGACACCAUAGCCUUGUGGAUUAAUAAGGGUUUUCCAGAGGGAUGGAACUGAGAUCCCUCUGAGAUGACCUCCAAUUCCCACCUCCUGUACCUGCCCUUUUCAGUUGCCCCUCUCCACAGGGAUGGGUUCCAGAACCCCACCGUGGACACCAAAAUCUGUGGAUGCUCAAGUCCCUUACUUAAAAUAAUGUUGUAUUUGCAUCUACCCUACAUCCGCCUAUAUACUUUAAAAUUUAAAUCAUCUCUAAAUUAUGUAUAAUACCUAAUACAAUGUAAGUGCCAUGUAAGUAGUUGUUAUAUAUAUUGUUUAGGAAAUAAUGACAAGAAAAAUGUCUGUUUAUGUUCAGUGCAGACAUAGAGUUUAGUUUUCAAAUAUUUUUGACUCAUGGUUGGUUGGAUCCUUAUAUAUGAAACCCACAGAUAGAGAGGGUGAAUCAUGUGGUCCCUUUCCCAUCCCAAGUGUGGAUGGGACUGCGAAUGAAUAUCACAGAACAAAGCCAAAUACAUUUUACAGACAUAAAUAAGGUUUCGAGUCACUAGACUUUGAGUUAGUCAAGAGAAAGAUGACCGAUCCUAAGUGGGCUUGGCCUAGUCAGGUGAGCCCUUAAUCAAGACUAGAUCUUUCCUAUGUAUAAUUUUGAAUUUGAGGAUUUGUCAAGAGGACCAUUGGUCAAGGGCUUGAGAGCAGCCUGCAGGAGCUGAUGAUCAUCUCAGGCUAAUAGGUGGCAAGAAAAUGGAAACUUCAGUUGCAUGGCCUCAGAGAAGUGAAUUCUGCCAAUAACCUGAGGGAUAUUGGAAGUGGAACCUUCCCUAGCUGAGCCUCCAAGGGAAGAUGCACCUGGAUAACAAGCUGCGUUCAGUCUUGUGAUACCCUGAGCACAGAAUCCCAUUAUUACUAGGUUUGUGGUAAUGUGUUACAGAGCAAUAGAAAACUCACACAGGUACCAUUCUAAACAUCACUCCUUUAUGUUAGGAAAAGAUGUUAAUGAUCGACAAAGAGAAUUUGUGCAAAGCGAUGUUUGACGGCUCAGGAAUGGCUUACAUGAAAUGCCCCAGCAAAUUGCCUUUUCUUUGUUAUCAUUAAACUGGACACAUCUGAUGAGACCCUGGCUAAGGGCUAGGGGAUAAGUGUUUUAUCUUCCCCUAGGCAGUUGCCCACAUGUGGUCAGUCCUGGAGAAGCCAGUGCACCUUGUCCUGGCCCAGGAACAACCGUGGUCAGUGGAAACCACAAAAGCAUCUCUGGCUUGUAUGGAUUCUGGGUUCCUUCUGUUGAGUAGAAAUCUAUUCCAGGAAAGACCACCCAAAUCAAAAAGAUCCAUGGCAUCAGGAGGGAUGCAUAAAAAUAGGAAUAUAAUAUCUGUUGGAAUAUUUUCCCUUUAUAGUAUAAGUCAUAGUUAUUUCUUGAAACCUUAUUACUCCAUAAAAAGUGUGUGAGCAGGUCCAUUUUGCUAGAUAGGUUCAUCUGUCCUACCACCAGAGUGGACAUAAUACAUAGUUAUUAGGUGCAGCACCUAGAUCACGUCCUGUCUGUGUAUUGUUAAACUAUUUUUACAAAGUGACAUUUAAAAAAAGAUAGUCAAAGCUGCUGACCUUUUAUUAACUUUACUUAAAAAAAGUCUGGAAUUAUUUUAAUGUUAUGAAUUUAUACAGAACAAUUUUCUUUUCUUUCUUUAUUUACUUUUUUUUCUUUUGGUUUGAUGGGAUCAAAGGUAGUUGUGUGCAUUUCCAGCUUGAAGACAAUUAAAAAUAAGAGGCAGAGAAGUACCUUUUCUGUUGUUAUUGCAUUGAUAAUGAAAAUGAGAGUCAGAUGGAAUUUUGUUUUCAAGUUUAAAAAAUGUCCAGUCAUUUGUGCAAAUGGUUUAAAAGCCUUGAGAUUUUAGGAAUAUGUACUUGCAAUUAUUCUCUUUUAAUAAUUAAUUACUAAUAUGUUUUAAUCACUGAGCACAUUGUUUUGAUCAUUAAGAAUUUACAAUGUAAAGAUUACUUCAAGGUCAAAUUUCAAAUGUUAAUCAUUUUAACCUAAUGCAUGUAAAUCUCUACUGAAUUCAGGUUAAAAAUAAAAAGUAAGUCAUUAAUUUGUACUGGCAUACUUACUGGAAAUUGUCUUUUAUUAUUCUCUGCUAUGGUUCAAGGUCAUUUCUUUAAUCUAACCUCAGAGCUGGAUAGAGUCAUCAGAGGAAAAAUCAUUCUUCUCCCUCUCUUUCUUUCCUUAAAAAUACAACUCUCAUAGGAGACCUCUUCUAACUUUCCUUUUCUCUUAAUUGUUCUUAUUUCAUCUUUAAUUAUUUCUGCUGCUAGGAUGGUGGUGUUUUUUUUCCUCUUAAUUCUGAGAGCAGAUUGUGUCACUGGAUUCAAGAUGCUUAGAAUACUGAGAAAUCUCAGCGUUAUUUUCUGGCUCAUGACUUUAGCUUGGUAUUUGAAAACUUUGCAAGGCAUCUUCUUUCUGAAAAAAUAGGCAUCCUGACAACUGCAGUCUCUGCUAGCUGUGUUCUGAUCAAGGCUGUGUGGGGCAAAGAGUGGCCCCCCAUGGGGCUUGAGUCCUGGUACCCUACUUAUUGGUUCUGUGCAGUAAGUUUACACCCAUCCUGUGUUCUUGCAUCCUCAUAUAGAAAGUGGGGACAGGCAGAACCCCAUGCUAAGGGGUAGUAAGUGUGAUGGGAAGCUGUGUAGGGUCAUCAGCUUCACCCACACUGGAGAAAAAAUGUGGUUUAUUUUGGCUGCAGUUGAUUUUCCCACGAGCCUAUUCCACAGGUCACUGGGUAGUAUGUGGCUUUAGUCCCACCCAGUUUAAGUCUUAAUAUCAUUCAAUUUAAGUUAAAAAGCCCAAUUCAAUUAAAUUAACUCCCUUAAGGGCCAGGGAUUUAGCUCAGUGGCGCCGUGCCUACCUAGCAAGUGCAAGGUCCUGAGUUUGAUCCCCGGUACUGGAAAAAAAAAUAGCUCCUUUAGGCAAUAAAGAUAAAUGUGCCCCAGUAACCUCCCCUUGUGUCUGUCCCUAAAUGCCUCAGAGUGUGAGAAGGGGCUUGUCUGUCUACACAUCUUUGUGCCCAUGCAGGUUCUUCUUGUACACUAUUCCCCCUCUUACCCACAGGGACAUGUCCCAAUAUCCCAGACAUCCACUUGAAACCAUGGCUAGAACCCAAACCUACAGAUACUAUGCUUCUUCCCUUAAUAAAUGCCUAUGAUAAAGUUUAAUUUAUACAUUAGGCUUAGUAAGCAAUUAACACUAGUAAUUAACAAAAAAUAACAAUUGUAGCAACAUAAUACAAAUUAUGUGAUUGUGCGUGUGAUCUCUCUCCCUCUCUCAAGAUAUCUUUUUAUUCUACAUUUUCACUUAAAGGAAGCACUUUAUGGCUUCUUUUUAGCAUAUCCAAAUGCCAACAUUACCACCUUUGUGGCUUGGGGCUAUUAGUAUGUAAAAAUAAGGGUUAUUUGAUGCCAAGUACUGCUGCAUAUACCACAACCGUCCAUCUAAUAACAGAGAUGGCUACUAAGUGACUAAAUGGGCAGAUAGUAUAUACUGCAUGGAUAUGAUAAAUGAAGAUUUGAUUCAUGUCCUGGGUGGGACAGAAUGGGAUGUCAAGAGAUAUCAUCACAACACUCAGACUGGUGCACAAUUUAAAACUUAGGAAUUAUUUUUUUCUGAAAUUUUGCAUUUAAUGUUUUGGAUAUGGCUGACCAUGGGUAACUGAAGCCAAAGAAAUUGAAACCUUGGAGGAGGGGGCUGCUGUAGUCUGUUCUGUGGGCUCAGAUAAUAUCUCUCUGGAAUACAGCCACAAUCACUUCCUUGCUGCUUUUUGCUGCUGGCAGAUCCCCGAGUCUUAUUCUUUCCUGGCUCCAGGAUGGGUAUUAUUUGGCCAGCUGGUUUUCAGUCCCAUAGACCUAAAGUGGCCCAUGGCAGCUGACUUUCCAGGCUUCCUUUUCGAUAAUCAUGCUCUUUGGGCUGCUAGGUUUACCAGGAUUUGUCCGUGCUGGGAUAUAUAUGGGCAGCCUGUCAAGUGCCUCUUUCCAAAACCUGCUAUAGAUUGGAAGGCCAGGAACCUCUGUCUUGAAUAUCCUCAUUUGAAAAUGGGACACCUGCUGGCUUGUCUUGACCUCCUGGCUCUGGCCUUUCUUUUCCUUACCACAAUUCACUCAGGACCAGCAAGAAGCAGGUCCUCCCUUACUAUGAACAUUCCAUGGGUUUGUCAUUUGAGGUUGAUUGUUGCUAUGCUACAGGCAGGGUGAAAAGGCUGGGUAUACAUUCUCAGAGCAACUGCUCAGCCUGAAAAGCUAGCUCUGGCUGCAAAAUCAUCCUUUUGGUCCAGAAUACAUAUCUCCUUGGUCUUUGUUUUUCUUCUAUAACCCUUAUCUUUUCCCUUGGCGGAGGAAUUCUCUAAGACCACAGCAAAGAGAAAGGCAAAAGAUAAAAGCACAUUAAUGCUCUUUAAAAUUCUAUCUUUGCAAUGUUACAUUGCAUCCAGUGCAGCUUCUGGUUAAAACCCAAUGAAUAUUUGUUGAAUGAAUGAAUAAUUAUGAUGAAUGAUUUCUUUUUAAACAAAUAGACACCCCUUAACAUUUUGGUCAACAGUAGACCACAUGUUGAUAGUGGUCCCAUAACAUCAUAUCACGUGUAACAUCUAGCUAUCUCGGUUUGUGUAAAUAAAUACACUCUAUGAUGUUCACAGAAUGAUGAAUUAUCUAAUGAUACACUUUUUACAUUCCCCAUAUUAAGUGAUGCAUAACUGUAUGUAUUUCUCAAGCAGAUCACUGGCAAUUCAUAACAGACAUCGUAUAGCCAUUUUACCAUGAAGAAAUUAUAAAUCUUUGGUUAAUUGUCAAAUAAGUAACUCUGUAGUCGACAGAAAAGAGUUUUCUCUUUUCUCCAUGAAGAGCAGUUAUAAGAAUAAUAAAUUUUUUACCAAAGCAAAAAUUGUACUGGAGAAAGCUCAACAGGCGAAGAAGACUUUGUUCUGGCUACUGAAGUAGAGGAGAAAGACCAGAACUGAGUGUUACUCAACUCUCCUAAAACAAAGAACAGAAAAGAUAUUGGGCAACAGUUUCUAUCUGUAGAAGUCCUUCAGAGCCCCAGUCUCAUUGACAGGAAGACAUUAACCUUGGUUCUUCCCACUUGAAAUAAUUUGCAUCUGAAUUAUAAGUUUCCAGAAAUGGAAUUAUCAAAGUGAGCCUACAUAAAAGCCAAGAGGUCUAAGGAAGUUUGUAAGGAGAAGGGGACUUGAAGCAGAACAAGAACUUGUUCUUUUUGGAAAUUGCAUAUAAUUUAACAUGGUAUAACCUUUGAAGAGGAAAUAUGACCCACUCAGAGCAUCACAGUGGGAUUUACGGAGGCUCGAUGUCUGAAAGCCCCAUCUCAAAGAAAGCAGGUGAUGGACUAAGCUUUACUUUUCUAUGUUCAAUGGAUGCUGACAAAAGUUGGCUUUGUGCAGUGUUUCUAUGAGGCAAUGAGGCCAAGCGUUUUUAUUCCCAAGGAUGAAAUGGAAAUGAUGGAGUCAAUAAGUAAGCGCUCUCAGAAGACUGGAAGAGGGACCUCUCCUUUAGCAGUGGAGGUGUGGCUUUUCUUUCCCAAUGGGCCAAAUCAAAAGUGUGGAAAGGCCAACACCUGGGCUUUGGUGGUAGUCUUGCCCACCUGCUGCCACCAUGGGCCUGGCCCCUGAGAUCCUGCUUCUCCAUCUGGAGCUCAGGUCAUAUUCCAGAGUCAUUUCAAGAUGGGCCUCAUUGUUUGGGGAGGUCUCUCCAAGUUUCUGCUCUUUGUGUUUACAACAUCAACUGAAGUCAUAUUUUAAGCGUGAAGGUGGUGGAAAACUGGACAGUCUCUGUGUUCUGACCUACAGAGAAGGACGUGAACUUGAGAGCCAUUCUUCUACGUUUGCUUUUCUCCUGGGCUAGGAGCACUCGGAACCACAGGGCGCGGGCUGGGUGGGGUCAGCAGGGGCCGGCGGGGUCAGCGGGCGCACACACAUUCCCGUCAUGCUCUGCUGUCUCGGUCCGGCUUCGCCCUCGACGCUGACUCUGCCACGAAGCAGUAUGGGCUGCGUUCCCAGGCUCCCAGAAAAGUUAGUAUCCCGCUCAGUGGUUUGUUUGAAAGUUUGAAUUUAGUUGUGUGACUCAAGCCACUAGUUGCCUGACUUUUGUCAGUCGUGGCUCUGAGGGAAUUUUGGAGCGCGUGAGAGAUUCUCUCAAUAUUGUAACACGGGAAGCCUUUCUGUUGAUUUUAUUGUAAUUUGUAUGGUUUCCCAAGGGGUUUGGCAGCUUAGCGGUGGUCUGGGUCUUUGAGUAAUAUAAAGCUGCCAUGGAUGUGGCUAAAUAAUACCUUAGGCAUGUGGUUUAUGGCCUGGGAACCUAGCUGUGUGUGCUUUGUAUUUUACUGCCAACCAGAAAUCUUGAGGGAAUCACUAGCUCAUCAACGUAGCGUUUCUCUCUGACCCUUGAUAUUCCAGCUGGCUUUUGAAAAUUACGACCACUUAACAGCUUUUGGCAGUCUCUGUGUGGAGGCGACUGAAAGGGAUAAAUUGUGUGAAAAUUGUCACCAUACUUGGCAUUUGAGGCCACUGUCUCAGAAGAGUAGCUGUUGUACAAAUGAUCUGCUUUGUCAAGAGCUGGCGGAAAAUAAAGAUGAGCUUCUAGAUGUUAUUAGGUUGCUGAAAGUCAAGCUCUGGGGAAACAUCAGUGAGAUCAGGAAGUCAAAUAUAUUGUAGAGAUGAAACGAUUGAAGUGGAAGUGCCCAUUAUUUCAGUGAAAUCCAAGAAGUUGGUAGCAGGAAACAGGUUUUUUUAAACCUUUUGUUUGGAAAUACUCAUAGAUUCACAGAAAUCUGCAAAAAAUAUACAGAGGUGAAUAUACCUUUCACUCUACAAUGUCUUGUGUAACUAUAGUAUAGUUGCAAAACCAAGAAGUGAGACAAAGUGCUUUUAAGAAAGCUGUGUGACCACCCAUUCAGAGAAUGAAAUCAUAUUCAUAUUCAGAAAUAGCAUCAUUUUUUUUUCUAAGACCUUACUUUGUGUCCGUAGUCGUUUGUCAUUUAAUAAGGUGGAUACAUUCUGAGAACUGCAGUGUUAGACGAUUUUAUCAUUGUGUGAACAUCACGGCGUAUAUUUAUACAAACCUAGAUAGCACAGUCUGUUAUACACUUAGUAUAAUUGUUAUAUUGUAUAUCCUGUUGCUCCUAAGCUACAAACCUGCUAAUCAUGUGCAGUAAAAACAUGUGCUAGAAGAUAUUUUUAAUCUCUGUUAUGGGACCACCAUCAAAUGUGCUGUCAUUUGUUAAAACAUUGGUUUGCAGCUCCAAUGUAUAGGACACUGGAAAUAUAAACAAUUCAGCUCUGAUUCCUUCCUUCAGGGAGUUACAGAAUAAUUAGAGAGACUGAUAUUAAAUAAGUAAUUAUACAGAUAAUUCAUCAGUUACAAUCUUGAUAAUUGCUAUGAAAUGAAAAUAUACUCAAAAGAGAAAUUGAUUUCAUGAAAAGACCUUAAAAGUUUCCAGAUGUUUAGGAGCCUUAUUUAAAGAUUUUCCAGAGUCUACAGUAGCUGCAACUUUAAAGUUUACUCUUACUAUAAAAUUUAUAAUUGUGCCCCUGCCAUUGGUCUGCAGAAGCCAAGUAUGUCUUGGAAUUCAUGGGCAUUGAUGACUGUCCCCAAAUGGCAGCUUAUGAAUACAUUACUAACAUAUACCAAUAAUUUGGCUGCAGAAAGAGAACUGGACUUCAGGAAUCUGUACCUUAAUAUCACCAGCAGUUGGAAGUGAUAAACCUAAAAUAGAUGUCUAACAAGUGGAGGGAUUCUUGAAAACUGGCUGUGUUCGAUGAGACUCUAAAACAUCUUUUCAGUUGUAAAAUUUCCUGCCUUUGGUUUGAGAGGGCAGCUUUGGCAAGGCACACAGAAUUCAAAUGCACAAGACUUGUUCAUGUGGCUCAGUGAUAUGAUCUAAUUUGGAAUCCUUAUGGUUUAAGUGAAGAGAGGAACAAUUAGAUUUAUGUUCCCUGUUGAGCACAAGACAUGGUAUCCAGGCAACUCAAGCUGAAUGCACAUAAGAUAGCGACCUUACCCACCUACUUGGUAAACUCUACACAGGUGGCGGAAAUAAUACCUGGAUAAAUAUCCCUGGUCACUUAGGACAUUUUCUUUAUAUCAACAUUUGCUGUAGGAGGUUCUCAUAUCUCCUGGUUUUUCCAGACAAACAGUAUGUUUCAGACAAGAAGUGGGAAACAAACGUUUGCCAGAAGUUUCUGGGGAGUAGCUGGCCUUAGCAGUGCUGUGCAUGGCCAAGUUAGCACACCUAUUGUCAGCUCCAGUUUUGUAAGAUGUCGUGAAUUAGGGUACCUGUCCAAGAAAUACAUAAUAUUUAGAAGUGCUGACUUGGUAUUUACUCAAGUGGAGCGUCUUUUGUGAUUUUUCAUUACUCAUUUGAUGUUCUGCGUCAUUGGUCACUGAGCCUUUCAGUAUAGAAGCAAGAGCAUUAGUUUGAGUGCUGCACUUGACCACCUGAACAUUCAUUCCAGUAAUUGGCUUCCAUCACAACUGUAAAUAAAACCGAGGAAAAAGUCUCACAGAAUCCAAAUUGCCCUCAAUCUUUCUUUUCCUUAUGGGGAAAUCUCAGGAUUGACAGCCCUCUUGAUGUUAAUUUAUUUGUUGAAUUUUACUUUUAUUAAAAGUUUACAACUUUAAAUAAUUUUUUUUCAGAAUGUUAGAUUUAGUUUGGGAGACUUUUUUGGUAAUGUUAAUGAUUCAAAUCAGGGCCUCUCAACUGAGCUGAACUAUGGCCCCAGCCUUUACAUUUUAAAAUUUUUCAGUCAGAGUGUCACUAAGCUGCUCAAUGCCUUGAACUUGUGAUCCUCCUGUCUCAGCUCCUGAGUAGCUGGGGUUACAAACAUGCAGUAUUGUAUCGGGUUGACAAAUUGUUAUUUUUAAUGAACUCUCGUGACUGGAAGAGAGUGCUCUUGACACUGAAGCCACAUGUACCAGUUCUAGAGGACUGGACUGGCUCUUGGAGCAAGGGUCAAAGUCACCCCCAGGGCUUUGCAUUGUGUCCUGCACACAUCUAUCUCCAGGUGCACACUGGCUGCAUUUGCUGUUGGAAACUUGCAGCUGGAUGGUGUAGGUUUUAGGGGCUGGGCUUUGGAAGAUAUAGAUCUGAUUUUUCAUCCUAUCUCUGCCACUUACUUCUCUGAGUCCUUGGGCAAGUAGUGGUCUGUACCUUGGUCUCAUCUGAGAAAUGAGACCUACCACAGAGUUGGAAAAAUUAUUAAGAUAAUAUUGAGAACUUUGAACAGGACCUGAGGUAUGUUUCCUUGUGGAUUGCCUGUCUCCCUAGUUGGAAUAUAAGCCUCACAAGGACAAGGAUUUGUCUCAUUGUUGUGACGCAAUGCAGGGGACAUAGAGGGUGCUCCACAAGUAUUCACCAGAUUAAUGAAUAAAAAAAGUUAUAUGUUUUUCUGUAUUACUAUAAAGUGAGAGAGAACGGUUUAAAUAUUUGAGGAAUAGAGACAAGACAAUUAUAAGAUCAAAUUAUUGGAGAAAGAUAUAUCCCCAUGAAUUAUCUAUCUAUAUUUUACUUUUGGGCAUCAAUUCCACAUUUAAGUAAAUUUAUAAUUUUAGCUGAGAAGUCAUAACUCCUUUCUCUAGAUAAUGGUUUUAAUGAUUCCUGAGAGAAAGUGGUAUAGCCAUUUUUGAUCUUUGAUUAAUAUGCAUAUACAUUUAAUAUAAUUAUGUGGGGUUUUUCUGAUUCCUUACUGAAUAUGGCAGAUUUUCCAUUCUUCUUUUUCUUUUUUUCAUUUCUUAUUUAUUGCUGUCUUACUCUGCCUCUAAGAUAAAACACUAUAAUGCUUUAAAAAUAUAUCUGAGAAUCAAUAGUGUAGAGAAUGUUAGCUUGUCAGGGAAAAAUUUGAAUGUCAAAAUAUUGCUUUUCUUUAGGAGUUACGCAGAGUUUAAAUUCCAUAGGCAAUUAUUAAUUACAUUAUCUCCAAACUGCCAAAAUCUGGUUUCAACUAGGAAUCAAUUUAGAGGACCAGUAUGUGUCUGCUAGGAAUGAGGUGGGCACUGAGUGAUAUUUUGCCAGUUUUAGGGACAGGUCAUUCACCUACCACCAGAUGGCAAAGUUACUCCAUCAGAUUUCAGGAGAGCUUUUGUUAAAACAGGUUUGUCACUUUUGUGAACUGGAUGGUUCACAUUUUUGUGGAUGCAGAAAAGAGAGCAACUCAUGAGGGCCUGUGUUUUAAAAUUUUAUGUAGGAAUUAAAGUACAAAUUGUUACAGAUUCUGGUACUAUUUGUACACAUAAAAUAUCUAAAGGGUUAUUAUGGUUUUUUUAACCCAUAAGAGAAUGGUGUUGACAGGUAAAUUGGAUGCCCCCCCCCACACCUUAAGGUGAACUUCGAUUUCCCUCUUUAUAACUUCUAACCUUCUGUCUUUCUAAGUCAUUCCACCCACCUGUUCUUUGUGGGAUCAUAGUAAUAGGAUAAUAAUUAAGAGCAAGAGUGUUAGAGACCAACAUCUCUGUGAUUAAGUCCAAACUAUUCCAUUUGGGUGAGCCAUGUAACCUCUUCAUGCUUCAGGUUUCCACAAAGUCAAAGUGCCUACUUCAUGGAAUGGCUGGUGUGGAUAAGGCAGUAUAGCUGAUGCCCCUGUCUGGCACCUAUGGGUGCUCACAUUAGGGUGUGUUCUGUUAGCUGCAAUACAUUUUACUCACCAUAUGUUAUCCUUGGGUGAAAAAGGCAUGUGAAUGCAAUAUUUUAUAUCCCUCUCUGAGACAUUAAAAUUUCAAACUACAGUAAAGUAUGACUUAGCUAUGGCACCUUUGCCUGUUCCUCCUCACUCCUACCUUCAUCCUUUGGAUAGGCUAAAUCACCGGCUUUCAGCAGUGGGGUGUGCGUGUGUGGGUUGAUGUUCCCUCCCCAGAGAACAUUUGGUAAUGUUUGGAGACACUUUUGGUUGCCACAAUUGUGGGAGGGAGUACGUAUUACUGACAUCUACUGUGUAGAGCCUGGGAAUGUGGUUAAAUAUCCUAUAAUGCACAGGGCAGCCUCCCUGAAGCCCAGAAUUAUCUGGUGCCAAAUAUCAAUAGUGCUGAGAUUGAGAAACACUGGGCUAAAUAGUACUCAGAAGAAGGAAGAUUUCUUGUCUUUGGUAUAGGCAAUUCAACUAGAUUAAAUUUCAAACAUAUACUAAUCAGGACUUAUACUAGAAUUGGGGAUCUAAGGAUUAAAAAGACAUAAAUCCAGGAUCUGUGAAGAGUCUGCAUUUUUUUUUUUUAACUUAUCAGUACUGUUUCAUGAUAGAAGACAUAAGACUCUGUGGUCAGAGAUAGGGAACUUUAUUAUUUGUGUGACAGCAAGCUGCACAAGCAUCAUGUUGGCAUCAUUUUCCUUGCUGCCCAAGGAAUGUGUGGGUGGACCUAGGUUGGUGUUAAGCAUGCAGUAAAUUUAUAUCAUAGCCGAAGAACCCUGAGCUUGGGGAAUCCACUGGUCUUACCAGAAAUGGUAAUCCUACUCUUUUUCCAGGGGGGUGGAGGCAAGAUUCCCUUCAUCAAUCUAUGGUGUAAAAAUUAUAGACAAGGGUAUUUCAGAUUAUUGAAAAAGCUUCAUAGAGGAAGAAAUAACUGGAUUUUGAAGGUUUAAUAGGAUUUUAUCCCAAAAAUAAGGCAGAAAAGGUUGUCCCAGAACCAGGAAUAGAAUGGGUAAAAGGCACAGACAUAUAAUCCACCAUGGGGUUUGGAGGGGUGUUGUAAAAGAGUAAGCCACACAGGUAGAGAGAGAGAGAUGGCUUAUGCAUUUAGUGGAGUGGUCAGUGGGUGUAUCUAGCCUGUUGAGUUCCUCAGAAGUAGGCUGAGAGUAGGAACAUCUUUUACUGUAAGCUGUGAGGGCAUAAAAUUGAGGGGAAUGAAAGAUUUUGUCAUGGGAAUAAUUGCCAUUCCAAACUCUGUAUAAAGUGUUAUUUGAUAUAAAGGAUUACAAGGAGGUAGAAGAGAAUCAAAGGUUCUGGUGAUACUGAGGAUCCUCUAAGAGAGGCUUUUCUUUUAUUGCCACCAUUAAGUUACCUUCCCUCCAGAGCAUCUCAACAUAGGUUAUGUGGGGACAGGGAGGACUCUGCAAAGACCUGGUUGAGUUUGAACAACUAGUGAGCGCAUGUGGACUUUUAAAACUAUGUCAUGCAACUAUAAACUUAGAUACGACAAUGAGCACAUGAGCUACAUUUCUACAAGAUGAUUUUUUUCCGUACUGUAGCUGUGAACCUUUAGUGCUGUGUGGGACCCAGUCUUCUGCACCAGUAGACCCUACUCAACAUAUGUUACUUGUUAGGGCAAGGCUGACAGACUAGAAAGCAGGUCAUGCUGGAUCAUUUACAAGAAAAUUUGGGGGAGUUUAUGGGUUCAAAGAAUGAUGUGUCUAAUGCUAAGCGCAAGAGUAAUUUGGGUAAAUAGCAGAGCACAGUCCCUUUAUUGCCCGUGGUGGGCAUCAUCUUGGCAGUUAAAAAUUGGCCACAAUGGAUAUGUUUGCACAAGGAAAUUGGCCAAUGCUGCAAUCAAGGAUUAUUUUGCUUAUCUAGUCACAAAAUGAUAGACAAAAUGUUAAUAAUGCAGACCGAAAUUAAAGGUUUAUCACAUCAGUGGCUGUUGCAUUGUGAAUAACACCAAAAUUGAGAAGCAGUCUUCUAGUAUUGGAAAAUUAUUGUUUGAUUCAAUAAAGAAGUUACUAUCAUGAGUGAUGGAAAAGUGACUUCCCACUAUAUAUGUCAUUGUCAUUUUUCUUCUUACUUGUUAAUGUAAGCAAAAAUUUCAACCAAUAUUCAUGUUGGAACUACUUUUGUUUUAUCAGUUACAACUGUUGGUUGGCUGCAGUUACAACAAUUUGAUAAAAAUCAAAACAUUCUGUGAGACUCCAUUGAUUAUACAAGUUUACAGUAAGGGACUUUAAAAAAUUAUAGUUCUGUGCUGCAUACCAGAGCCUCAGCUGAUGAUGGAUCACAUGGACAACGGUGGUCUCAUAAGACUGUAAUGGCACUGAAAAAUUCCUAUCCCCUAGUGACGUUGUAGUCACUGUAGCACACUGCAUUCCUCACAUAUUUUGGGGGAUGCUAGUGUAAAUCUACUUUUUUUGCCAGUCAUAUAGAAGUAUAGUGGUAGAGUUAUGUACAGUAUACAAUACUUUGUAAUGACAAUAACCAAUUGUAUUAUUGACUCUUGUACAUAUUAUGCUUUUUUUGUGUGAUUUUCCAAUGGUGGGAUUCAAACCCAGGACUUGAACAUGCUGGUCGACUACUCUUCCACUGGGCUAUACUCACUUUACUUUUAAUCAUUAUUUUAGACUGUAUCUAUGUAUUAACUGUAGUCAUCAUUAAUCAUAACUUUAGUGUGCUCCUCCUACUUAUAUAAAGAAAGCUAAUUGUGGCCUCAAUAGGGCCAUCAGGAGGGUGCAGAAGGAGGUGUUGUUAUCAUGGGAGACUAUAUUACUAUAUUACUUUUCCAGUGGGACAAGGUGUGGUGGUGAAAGACAGGUGAUUUUGAUGAUCCUGACCCUGUGUAUGCCUCAGUUAAGGUGUGUGUUUGUGUCUUAGUUAUUAACAACAGAGUUUAAAAAAUUAAAAGAAAAAGUUUUUUCUUUUUCUUUAUUAGUACAUGUUUGCAGUACAUAAUGUUUACGUCCCAUGUGUAGAGUUAGUGCAUGUACAUAACACAUCAUAAUUCUGUUUUUCAUCCCUUUUCUCUCCCCCUCCCCUCUCCCCUCUCCCUCCAUCUCUUGAUUCACUUCCUAUUUGAGAAACAUCUAUCUCCAUACUUUCUACUCUCUUUUUGUCCUUUAUUUGUAUUUUAGGUUUCUCAUAUAAGAGAAAUCAUGUGAUAUUUAAGUUUGUGUGUCUGAUUUAUUUCACUUAACGUUGUGGCAUUAAGGUGCUUCCAUUUUCGUACAGAUGACGCAAGUUUAUCUUUAUGGCAGAAUAGUACUCCAUUGAGUGUAAAUCCCACAUUUCCUUAUCUGUUCAUCUAUUCAGGGGCAUAUAGGCUGCUUCCAAGAAUUAGCUAUUAUUAUGAACUGUGCUGCUAUAAACAUGUAUAUGCAUGUAUCACUGUAAUAUGUUGUCUUUAAAUCUUUUGGGAAAAUACUUACAAGAAGAAUAAUGCUGUCGAAUAGAACUUCUAGUUUUAGUUUUUUGAGAGAUCUCCAUACUGAUUUCCAUAAUGAUUGUACUAGUUUACAUUCCCGCCAACAAUGUACAAGGGUUCCUUUUUCCCUGCAGCCUUGCUAGCAUUUGUUAUUAUUUGAUUUUUGAUGAUGUUCAUUCUUACUGGGUUAAGGUGGGAUCUCAUUGUUGUUUUAAUUUGCAUUUCUUUAAUGACCAGCCAUGUUGAACAUUUCUUUGUGUACUUAUUGGCCAUUUGUACUUCUUCUGUGAAAUGUCUAUUCAUUUAAGAGAAAAUUUAAAAAACGGAAAAACCUUAUGAAGCUUAUAAGCCUGUGUUUUAAGCUAAGGGUCGACAGAAAUGAGUUAAGUUUGAAAAGUUUUUAAAGUAAAAAAUUACAAUAAACUAAAGUUAAUUUAUUAUUGAAGAAAGACAUUUAAAAAAUAUUAGCACAUCUUUAUUGGUUACCUUAUGGUAGUUCAAUACAUGUGUAUAAUGUAUAAUUAAAACAUGUACAUCUUUAUGGAUUACAUUAUAGUAAUGCAAAUAUAUGUAUACAAUGUGUAAUAAUCAAUUCAGGCAUCUCUUCAAACAUUAAUCAUUUUUAUGUGUUGGGAAUUUGAUACUCUUCUAGUUAAUUUGAAAUAUAAAUUGUUUCAACCAAUAAUUACCCUACUGUAAUAAAGAAAAAAGCAAAGUAAUUUCUCCACUCUGUGUUUAGUGUCUCUUAUUGAAGUUCUUUCUGUCCCCCUUCCCUAGUUUCUGGUAACCACUGUUCUAUUCUGCUCUUCUAUGAGAAUGGCUUAUUAGUUACUAUAAGUGAGUAUGAAUAUGUGGUGUACGUCUUUCUGUCUCUGGCUUAUUUCACUGAACAGAAUGACCUCCAGUUCUAUACACAUUGCUGCAAAUGACAAGAUUUUACUUUUUAUGGUGACUAGUAUUUAUUCCAUUGUGUAUUUAUACCACAUAUUCUUCUUCCAUUCAUCCAGUGAAGGGCAUCUAGACUGUAGUUAUUGCUAAUAGUGCUGACAUAACAUUUUGGUAUAAUUAGUUCAUCUCCUUUAGACUUGUACCAAGUAGUGGGAUUGGUGGAUUGUAUGGAAUUCUACUUUUAGUUUUCUGAUGAAUCUGCAUACUGUUUUCCAUUUUGGCUGCACUAAUUUACAUUCCAACUAACAGUGUAUAAGAGUACAAUUUUCUUUUCUUCCUCACCAGCAUUAAUUUUUUGUCUGUUUAAUGAUAGCCAUUCUAACUGGGGUGAGAUGAUAUCUCAUUAUGGCUUUGAUUUGUACUUCUCUGAUCAUUUGUGAAAUUGAACAUUUUGCUGUGUUCUUGUUGGCCAUUUGCAUGUCUUCUUUGGAGAAGUGUCUGUUUAGUUCUUUAGCCCUUUUUUUUUGGUACCAGGGAUCGAACUUGGGACCUUGUGCUUGCGAGGCAGGCAGUGGAACCACUGAGUUAAAUCCCUGGACCUCUUUAGCCCAUUUUUAAAUUAGAUUUUUUUAAGAGGUCAGCUUUUUGAGUUCCUGUAUAUUCUUGAUAUCAAUCCCUUGUCAAAUGAAUAGUUUGCAAAUAUUUUCUCUCAUCCUAUAGGAUUUCUGUUUACUCUGUUAUUAGCUUCACUGUGAGGAAGCUUCUUGGUUUGAUAUAAUUCCAUUUGUCUAAAUUAUGUCUGUUGCCUGUGCUUUUAGGGUCUUACCUAAAUAAACCAUUAACUAUACUAAUGUCUUGAAGGGUUUCCUCCAUUUUUCUUUUUUAGGAAUUUUGUGGUUUCUGGUUUAUCAUUUAGAUCUUUGGUCCAUUUUGUGCGGUGAGAGGAAAGGAUCUAGUUUCAUUCUUCUGUGUCUGUAUAUCCAAUUAUGCAAACACUGUUUAUUGAAGAGACUGUCUUUCCUCCACUGUAUGUUCUUGACUUCUUUGUUAAAGAUCAGUUGAUUGUAUGAAUGUGGUGAAGAAGGAAAAUGUGUAACACUGCUAAAUACUGUAGGCAAUGGUGGGAAGUCCCUAGGGUCAAGCCUCAGGCCCCCUUGACAUUAAAGACCCUUUGGCCUUUCUCCCUCCUCUAGCUUCAUUAUUCCCUGGUGAAUUGCUCUGAGAAUACUUGUCCCAGCUCCACUUCCGGAGGAAACUCCUUAGCAAAGUUCCCUGGCUAGCCCUUUUUUUCCCACAGAUGAGGAGGCUGAAAUACUUCUUAUACUCUCACCCAUCCACACACUAGAACAUUCGUCAGGGAAAGCUCUCUACAUGGUUGCUCAAUAAUCUGCAACCUUAUAGGAGUCAUUCACUC